UGGGGAAUUUUGGACAAUGGGCGAAGGCCUGAUCCAGCAAUGCCGCGUGUGUGAAGAAGGCCUUCGGGUUGUAAAGCACUUUUGUCCGGAAAGAAAUCCUUGGCUCUAAUACAGUCGGGGGAUGACGGUACCGGAAGAAUAAGCACCGGCUAACUACGUGCCAGCAGCCGCGGUAAUACGUAGGGUGCAAGCGUUAAUCGGAAUUACUGGGCGUAAAGCGUGCGCAGGCGGUUUGCUAAGACCGAUGUGAAAUCCCCGGGCUCAACCUGGGAACUGCAUUGGUGACUGGCAGGCUAGAGUAUGGCAGAGGGGGGUAGAAUUCCACGUGUAGCAGUGAAAUGCGUAGAGAUGUGGAGGAAUACCGAUGGCGAAGGCAGCCCCCUGGGCCAAUACUGACGCUCAUGCACGAAAGCGUGGGGAGCAAACAGGAUUAGAUACCCUGGUAGUCCACGCCCUAAACGAUGUCAACUAGUUGUUGGGGAUUCAUUUCCUUAGUAACGUAGCUAACGCGUGAAGUUGACCGCCUGGGGAGUACGGUCGCAAGAUUAAAACUCAAAUGAAUUGACGGGGU
rnacentral:rRNA from 1 species